CCGGCGGAUCGUGCGCCGGGCCCGGACGGCUUCUCUGGCCUCUUCUUCAGAUCAUGCUGGGCAACAAUCAAAAAUGAUAUCAUGGCAGCGUUCAACCAGUUCUACAACCUAGUAGGUAGUUACUUUAGAGCCCUGAACACUGCGGUGGUUGCAUUACUGCCCAAAAAGGACGGAGCAGCGUCUAUUAACGACUACCGGCCAAUCAGCCUCAUACAUUCCAUAGCAAAGUUGAUCUCCAAAGUUAUGUCCCUCAGGCUGGCCAACGUGAUCCACACGCUCAUCUCACCAGCACAGUCGGCAUUUCUUCGGACAAAAUGCAUCCACGAUAGCUUCCUAUAUGUUCAAAACUGCAUCAAGGCCUUACAUAGACGGAAAACACCAGCUCUGCUUCUUAAGUUAGACAUCCCAAGGCCUUCGAUAAUGUGUCUUGGGAGUACAUCCUAG
rnacentral:rRNA from 1 species